GGAAGGAAGAAAGCAGGGUAUUCCAAGCAGAGCAGCUGCGUCCAAAAAUCCUUCACUCCCAUAAAACACUGGAACCUGGAAAUGGAUCUGAAUCUGGAUUUCAGGAAACCGAAAUCCCACCAAAACCCAUCAUGAUGGAUGCAGCAAGAACACCGGGGCAACUGACUCAACUCUGAAAGGGAAAUUUGGACACAGAUACACACAAAAGGA